UGGGGAAUUUUGGACAAUGGGCGAAAGCCUGAUCCAGCAAUGCCGCGUGUGUGAAGAAGGCCUUCGGGUUGUAAAGCACUUUUGUCCGGAAAGAAAUCCUUGGCUCUAAUACAGUCGGGGGAUGACGGUACCGGAAGAAUAAGCACCGGCUAACUACGUGCCAGCAGCCGCGGUAAUACGUAGGGUGCAAGCGUUAAUCGGAAUUACUGGGCGUAAAGCGUGCGCAGGCGGUUUGCUAAGACCGAUGUGAAAUCCCCGGGCUCAACCUGGGAACUGCAUUGGUGACUGGCAGGCUAGAGUAUGGCAGAGGGGGGUAGAAUUCCACGUGUAGCAGUGAAAUGCGUAGAGAUGUGGAGGAAUACCGAUGGCGAAGGCAGCCCCCUGGGCCAAUACUGACGCUCAUGCACGAAAGCGUGGGGAGCAAACAGGAUUAGAUACCCUGGUAGUCCACGCCCUAAACGAUGUCAACUAGUUGUUGGGGAUCAUUCCUUAGUAACGUAGCUAACGCGUGAAGUUGACCGCCUGGGGAGUACGGUCGCAAGAUUAAAACUUAAAUGAAUUGACGGGGUCAUAGC
rnacentral:rRNA from 1 species